rnacentral:rRNA from 1 species
AGUGAACGCUGGCGGUAGGCCUAACACAUGCAAGUCGAACGGCAGCACAGUAAGAGCUUGCUCUUACGGGUGGCGAGUGGCGGACGGGUGAGGAAUACAUCGGAAUCUACUUUUUCGUGGGGGAUAACGUAGGGAAACUUACGCUAAUACCGCAUACGACCUACGGGUGAAAGCAGGGGUACUUCGGACCUUGCGCGAAUGAAUGCGCCGAUGUCGGAUUAGCUAGUUGGCGGGGUAAAGGCCCACCAAGGCGACGACCCGUAGCUGGUCUGAGAGGAUGAUCAGCCACACUGGAACUGAGACACGGUCCAGACUCCUACGGGAGGCAGCAGUGGGGAAUAUUGGACAAUGGGCGCAAGCCUGAUCCAGCCAUACCGCGUGGGUGAAGAAGGCCUUCGGGUUGUAAAGCCCUUUUGUUGGGAAAGAAAAGCAGCAGGUUAAUACCCCGCUGUUCUGACGGUACCCAAAGAAUAAGCACCGGCUAACUUCGUG